rnacentral:rRNA from 1 species
UACGUAGGGGGCAAGCGUUGUCCGGAUUUAUUGGGCGUAAAGAGCGUGUAGGCGGCUGGGUAGGUCCGUUGUGAAAACUCGAGGCUCAACCUCGAGACGCCGAUGGAAACCCUCCAGCUAGAGUCCGGAAGAGGAGAGUGGAAUUCCUGGUGUAGCGGUGAAAUGCGCAGAUAUCAGGAAGAGCACCCGUGGCUAAGGCGGCUCUCUAGUACGGUACUGACGCUGAGACGCGAAAGCGUGGGGAGCGAACAGG